rnacentral:rRNA from 1 species
UACGGGGGGGGCAAGCGUUGUUCGGAAUUACUGGGCGUAAAGGGCUCGUAGGUGGCCAACUAAGUCAGACGUGAAAUCCCUCAGCUUAACUGGGGAACUGCGUCUGAUACUGGAUGGCUUGAGAUUGGGAGAGGGAUGCGGAAUUCCAGAUGUAGCGGUGAAAUGCGUAGAUAUCUGGAGGAACACCGGUGGCGAAGGCGGCAUCCUGGACCAACACUGACACUGAGGAGCGAAAGCCAGGGGAGCAAACGGG